GACAGGUUGCUCUUCCUUUGCAGGCCUCCAAGAGCGCUGGGAACAACAGACGCGCAGACCUGCGGACAGACAGGAGACAGGGUAAACACCGAUGACUCCCAGAUCUACAGCUCCAGGCUGUUCCCUUCUCCGUGUCUCAUAUCAGCUUUGCCAACUGUUUAUUGGACAUCACCGCCUGAGUAUCCCUGAGGGACACGAUUAUCCUGUUUGGAGUGUAUUGAACUUCUUGGAUACAUCGAUUAGUGUCUUUCCUCAAGUUUGAGUAAUUUGCAGUCAUUUUUCCUUUGAAAAUUCUUUCUUCUCUAUUCUGUUUCUCUCCUUGUUGAACCCCCAUCAUGCAUAGGUGUGCUCUGUUCAUUUUUCACAUUACUUUUAUUUUUCUGCUCCUCGGACUGAAUAAUCUCAAUUGACCUAUUUUAAGUUCACUGAUUCUUUUGCCUGCCCAAACCUACUGUUGUACCCCUCUAGUGACUUUUAGUUAUUGUACUUUUCAAAUAAAGAAUUUCUAUUUAUUUUAUAA